UCUUCACAAUGCGCCCUGCACUCAGGGCUUUUAUGAUUAAAGAUCAUCCUGCCAACAGCUUCCUUCCGAGCCAGGUUCUCGGGGUCCCCGCGCUCCCUACUGCCCUGGGCUUGGCCCCAGGCUGCGCUGCGCUUGGAAACUCCCCUUUUCAGACUUCAGCCUCCAGCGAUUCUUUUAAACACGCACUGCAGUACCCACUGUGUCCCCAACAGCGUGAGAAGCUCGCCCACCCCCAGCUCCGGGAGGCUCCCUGACCCUGCAGACAGACCGACCCGACCUUGGCUUCUCUGUCAAGUGGCUUUUCCGUCCCCGCGGCCCUUCGGGGUUCUCUGCGGGUCACCACCGGAGCCCCCUUCACGCCCCAGAGUCGCGUCCACCACAACUGACCCACAGGCUUUCUUGGGACGAUGGCCAUGUGAUCCUCCUGCCUCAUCCUCCGGGUCGCUGGGGUUCCACGAUGGUCACCACUCCUGGUAAACGGGUUUCUGUCAGUUAUGUGUAUCUCAUCCAUCCAUGGGGUCCCUGGAGCAUGGAUCUCUGUGCCUAUGCUCUCUGAUAGGGGCGACCCCACAGCUGGGCGCUUGGUACAGGACCCACCUCUGCUUCCCGCCGCGUCGCCCUUCCCUGAUUCCUGCAGGAGGCUGAACUGGCCAGUGGAAAAGUAGGUGGAGGGGAGAGACCCGGCUCUCUCUGGCUCUGCAGGGCUCUGUUCGGAGGGAAGCACCGAGCCCUCUGCUGGUCAGCGUGCAAACCCCCAUCAGUCUGCGUGCUGAGGACACCACUGCCCUGCCUCUGCACAGCCCAUCCUAGAAUGCCCUGCUUCUAGUGAGCAGCCUCCAGCCUUCCCAGUCAGCAGCCUCCAGCCAGGGCACCCCUGGAGCUGUCCCUUACCCACUGUGAUGCUUCCUCAACCCUCUGCCUGCCUUCAGACACUCUGCCAAAGCACAGGACCUGGCCUGAACCAGCCGGGAUGAAGAAGGGCCCUUUUGUAGUGUGACUUUGAGUGGACAACAGCCUGGGAGGCUCUUUUCUGCACCAAGUCACUGGAGUCACGCAGAGUGGUCACUCUUGGCAGGCCAGGCCCUGGGCUGGGUGUGUGAGGGAGGCCCGCUUCCCUCCCCUCCAUCCUGCUUGUUUUCAACAAGCGGGAGCAGCGUGAAAAGAGGGCUUCUGGUGGCUGCUCUGAAUUCAAGGUCUCUUAGAUUGUGUCCCCCUGAAGUGGCCUCUAUGAGGGUUCCACUGCAAGUAAUCUAGUCACAAGGCCCCACCGGACUCUCCCUUAGGUAAGUGGGGAGGUGAAGGAGGAUACAGCAGGGCAUCUAUUCAAGCAGGUCUGUUGAGAGCCCCAGCAAACUUUCAGACUGCCAGCUGAUGAUUGGCUCACAGCACUCAGCAACAUCUAGCUGAUUGGCUCCUCUGCGGUGAUGCUCAUUGGGCUGUUUCCCUGCCCUU